UACGUAGGGUGCGAGCGUUAAUCGGAAUUACUGGGCGUAAAGCGUGCGCAGGCGGUUCGUUAAGACAGAUGUGAAAUCCCCGGGCUUAACCUGGGAACUGCAUUUGUGACUGGCGAGCUAGAGUAUGGCAGAGGGGGGUAGAAUUCCACGGUGUAGCAGUGAAAUGCGUAGAGAUGUGGAGGAAUACCGAUGGCGAAGGCAGCCCCCUGGGCCAAUACUGACGCUCAUGCACGAAAGCGUGGGGAGCAAACAGG
rnacentral:rRNA from 1 species